UAGGGAAUCUUCCGCAAUGGGCGAAAGCCUGACGGAGCAACGCCGCGUGAGUGAUGAAGGUUUUCGGAUCGUAAAGCUCUGUUGCCAGGGAAGAACGUUUUUUAGAGUAACUGCUAGAAAAGUGACGGUACCUGAGAAGAAAGCCCCGGCUAACUACGUGCCAGCAGCCGCGGUAAUACGUAGGGGGCAAGCGUUGUCCGGAAUUAUUGGGCGUAAAGCGCGCGCAGGCGGCGAUUUAAGUCUGGUGUUUAAACCAUGGGCUCAACCUGUGGUCGCAUCGGAAACUGGAUGGCUUGAGUGCAGAAGAGGAAAGUGGAAUUCCACGUGUAGCGGUGAAAUGCGUAGAGAUGUGGAGGAACACCAGUGGCGAAGGCGACUUUCUGGGCUGUAACUGACGCUGAGGCGCGAAAGCGUGGGGAGCAAACAGGAUUAGAUACCCUGGUAGUCCACGCCGUAAACGAUGAGUGCUAGGUGUUAGGGGUUUC
rnacentral:rRNA from 1 species